AAAGAGAGGGGGAAGGAGAGGGUGUUCCUCAAAAUGUAAGAUUGAGAAUCUGCAAUCCAAUUGGUCCUUUUAGACGUCAGUAAAUGCGUCAUGAUUUCUGUGUUCUGCUGCAUUCGCUGAACAUAGGAAAACGGAUGUUUCCCGACUUCAGACCGGGAAAACUUAGAAAUGGGAGAUCCGAAUUGUGAAGUCGCAAAAAAUCCCGACUUUAUUGGGUGGCAACAGUUAACAUGGGGAAAGAAGAGGCAGGACACGACAGCAGCAAGAUGCAAAAGAACGAAACAAGGACAGGAGAAGAAGAGAAAUGUUUAAUCUAAUGUAUCACAUUUGAAGUUGUCGAGUGAAGGAAGUGUAUAUUGUAACACUGAGCUCAAUUUACAAUACAACUGAGGAAACCCCGGGUGAGUAUAUUUUCAUAAGUAUUAUAGCUUUAUAAAAUAGUUUUAAAGCUGAUAUACAGUAUUUGCAGGGAACCAUGAUUUAGUCUGCUGUAUGAGUGGCAACAAAGGAAGAGGAGUUCUUAUGCCUGCCUCUUUAUGACACUGGCAUAGAAAGAAAAACAACAAUAAGAGUCUUUAAAAAUGCAAUAAUAGUAUUCAUUCAUUCAUUCAUUCAUCUUCCUAACCGCUUGAUCCUCACUAGGGUCGCGGGGGGGUGCUGGAGCCUAUCCCAGCUGUCUCCGGGCAGUAGGCGGGGGACACCCUGAAUCGGUUGCCAGCCAAUCGCAGGGCACACAGAGACGAACAACCAUUCGCACCACACUCACACCCAGGGACAAUUUAGAGUGUUCAAUCAGCCUGCCAUGCAUAUUUUUGGAAUGUGGGAGGAAACCGGAGCACCCGGAGAAAACCCACGCAGGCCCGGGGAGAACAUGCAAACUCCACACAGGGAGGCCGGAGCUGGAAUCGAACCCGGUACCUCUGCACUGUGAAGCCGACGUGCUAACCACUGGACUACCGGGCCGCCCCUGCAAUAAUAGUAGUAGUAAUUAAAAAUAAUCCUGUGAAUAUAGACUUUCACUUUGAACUACAAGACGUGCGGUGAUUGGUUUUUCAGAGUCAACGCAUGAUGUAACUGAAUCGAAAACUGUGAUCACAAAACCGAGAGCCAAACUGCGGAUUUGGUGAUCCAUUCCACCCUGAGUACAAUCCUAUACAGCAUUCCGUUUUCCGGAUUUCCUUCAAAUGAGGAGAUUCAACGUCGUUGAUAGGUCGCCAUCUGCAGGGACGAGGAUGAAAUUGCACAUAACACUGGUGUAUGUGUGUAGCCAGGUUUUUUUUAAAGAGGACGUACGGGAGCCAGCAUCAAAGACAAGACGGCAUUUGUUAAAGAGAGAACCUUUCUCUAUUUUGCUUGAAUGGAACAAUUACUCUCUCGUCCCAUCAAGACCAAGUGUUUGAGAGAGAAAACCAAGACCACGCGAGGAAGAGACAGUCAGUGGCGUUGCCACAGCUGACCAAAACAACGUCCUGACCGACCCAUGACUACUACAUGCAUCCUCAUCACACAGCACUCGAGCAAAACAUAACUCAGCGAGAGGAAAUUGGUCAUUUUAGGAGACAACAGGUGGAGAAUCUGACUUUAAAUCCAAGGUUCGGCAUUCAGAUAAAGACAUGAGAUUUCUUCACCAGGUCGCCUCAUGUGAUCUUCUGACGCGCUUCUGGGCGUUGAUCUAUCAUCUAUGCCAAAUUUUAGGCUCGCUCCAAGAGGCCCCUUGCCUGAGGAAUAUUCUGGCCGUGCCCUGCAGCUCAUUGACGAGUGAUUUUUGUUCCUGAACUACCUGGUAAUGGGAGCAAAGCGGUGAGACCUGACUGACCGUUACGGAGUCCAUCAGGCAGCCGUCAGCCGGGUCAUUAUUUCAUGGAGCAACUUUUUGUAUGCAGUACUAUGUUCAGUGAGGAUUUGGAUACCCCAGAAGCAGAUUCGCAAACAUGUGCCAGCUGUUUUUGAGGAUUACGCUGAAAAUGCCGUCAUCCUUGACUGCAUUGAGUUGAGGUGUCAAAGCCCUUCUUCCCCUCUUCUUCAGAGUGGCGUUUUUGUCACCCCGCGAGUCACACGACGGUCUGAAAGGGCUCAUUGGAGUAGCUCCACAUGAGGCAGUCACAUUUGUAUCUGGACUGUUCAGGGAAUCCAUAAGUAACAAAGAAAUAGUGCGUCAGUCUGGUCUCAUAUCCCUGUUACAACCUGAGAUGGCUGUCAUGGUUAAGAAAGCUGUUCCCAUCUAUGACAUUGUAGCUUGUGAGAUUUAUAGACCGGCCUUUCUAUUUGGGAACUCUCAAAUGCCAGCAGGUGAUGUUGAAGAGCCCUCGGCAACAGCGCAUCUCAGGGUCCCUGUGGACCGUUGCAUUCGACGGGUAAAGGAGCACACAUCAUUUGAAUCUCAGAUUCCGGGAUGGCUUGAUGUCAGCAUGAAUCAAAUAUACACUGUGGCAUGUCUGCUGACAAAUUACGAGAAUGGACCUCUUGUUAAAGCACCGGUGAAGACAAGUUAGGAGCUUGACACUCUGGCAGCGCUUCCUCCAGUUGUAAUUUGUAAUGAUUGUAAUGUACUAAAGUUUUUGACGUUUCAUA